GUAGGGGCGGAUGUAGCCAAGUGGAUCAAGGCAGUGGAUUUGUG
rnacentral:tRNA from 1 species